rnacentral:rRNA from 1 species
CGCUAUCACUCCUACGGGGAGGCAGCAGUGGGGAAUAUUGCACAAUGGGGGAAACCCUGAUGCAGCCAUGCCGCGUGUGUGAGAAGGCCUUCGGGUUGUAAAGCACUUUCAGUAGGGAGGAAGGUAGUGUAGUUAACACCUGCAUUAUUUGACGUUACCUACAGAAGAAGCACCGGCUAACUCCGUGCCAGCAGCCGCGGUAAUACGGAGGGUGCGAGCGUUAAUCGGAAUUACUGGGCGUAAAGCGCAUGCAGGCGGCCUGUUAAGUCAGAUGUGAAAGCCCGGGGCUUAACCUCGGAAUUGCAUUUGAAACUGGCAGGCUAGAGUCUUGUAGAGGGGGGUAGGAAUUUCAGGUGUAGCGGUGAAAUGCGUAGAGAUCUGAAGGAAUACCAGUGGCGAAGGCGGCCCCCUCGGACAAAGACUGACGCUCAGAUGCGAAAGCGUGGGGAGCAAACAGGAUUAGAUACCCUGGUAG